rnacentral:rRNA from 1 species
CCUAAUACAUGCAAGUCGAGCGAACGGACGAGAAGCUUGCUUCUCUGAUGUUAGCGGCGGACGGGUGAGUAACACGUGGAUAACCUACCUAUAAGACUGGGAUAACUUCGGGAAACCGGAGCUAAUACCGGAUGAUAUUUUGAACCGCAUGGUUCAAAAGUGAAAGACGGUCUUGCUGUCACUUAUAGAUGGAUCCGCGCUGCAUUAGCUAGUUGGUAAGGUAACGGCUUACCAAGGCAACGAUGCAUAGCCGACCUGAGAGGGUGAUCGGCCACACUGGAACUGAGACACGGUCCAGACUCCUACGGGAGGCAGCAGUAGGGAAUCUUCCGCAAUGGGCGAAAGCCUGACGGAGCAACGCCGCGUGAGUGAUGAAGGUCUUCGGAUCGUAAAACUCUGUUAUUAGGGAAGAACAUAUGUGUAAGUAACUGUGCACAUCUUGACGGUACCUAAUCAGAAAGCCACGGCUAACUACGUGCCAGCAGCCGCGGUAAUACGUAGGUGGCAAGCGUUAUCCGGAAUUAUUGGGCGUAAAGCGCGCGUAGGCGGUUUUUUAAGUCUGAUGUGAAAGCCCACGGCUCAACCGUGGAGGGUCAUUGGAUACUGGAAAACUUGAGUGCAGAAGAGGAAAGUGGAAUUCCAUGUGUAGCGGUGAUAUGCGCAGAGAUAUGGAGGUACACCAGUGGCGAAG